CUUAAAUCGGUUUAUUAAUUUUCUGAACAAUUAUAAAAUAAUCUGGAGUAGUAGAGAAAUAAUCAAAAGGGAAACGUAGGAAGUUUCUUGUUAGCAAGAAAAUGGUGAACAAGCUGAAGAGCCUCUCUAGGUUUGAAAGUCGGAACUUGGUGUCCCGCUCCUCUCACAGUCACAAACAUUAGCCCAUCGUACUCCACCGUCCACCCGCCUACCUGUUGUUUGUUGGUGUACCAAGGUGUCCAGUCUUGGACUGUCUUAAGACCAAGCUUCUUUAAUGAGUAUCUGGUUGCGGUCACUGGGAUUCUUCCAUCUGUAUCCCCACUUUUUCACCAAAUAUUUAAAACUAGUUAUCGCCGAUUUUCCGUAAAUAUUCAUACAUAAAAAGACCACUAUCAAGGAGCAAGUGUUAUGUACCUGAAAACCCAUACUCGUAAUCCGGCUGAAACAAGUGUUCUCAAGGUAGGAAGCAUGGAAGCGGGAGCGUCAGCCCAAAACGAGAUAUGAUCGCUGCACAUAUAGUUAUAACCAUGCAUAUUGGUUUAUAAGAUCGAACAAUAAGUAUCAUAUAACUAGAACCAUAUACGGUAGAUUUCUAUAUUUCAUUAUAAGUAAAAUAUGAAAAAUAUGGAACUUAACCGGAAACAUGUUUGAACAUCAUGAUAAUACCUGCAAUGAGUCCAAGGGUAAGAGAGGUUGGUGACAUUAGCAUGAAGUGCCUCUUGAACAUCUCUCCUGUUCAUAUACUUUUCUGUAUAGUCUGAUGCACAUGGAUCGUACCCGGCAGCCAUCUUCCGCCAUCCCUCCUGUAUAUCAUUCAAUUGUAUGUACCACUUCAGUUAGGGACAAAUAUCCCACAUAGGAAAUUGGAAAUGAUAUUAACUAAUAUAUAAACGAGAUGAGUAAAUUCACUUAUAAUGGUUUUAGGUUAGAAAUUCAUCAAACUUAACAUGCAAUCUGCUUCAAAUUAUGAUUGAAAAUAAAAUAUAUACUUACAUUGUUGGAGACGAGACGGGGCCGAAAGAUGCCUCGAGCAGCAGGAAGGUGGCGGCUUCCGGCGAUAGAAUGUGAAACGGAGGAGUUCUCGGUGGUAGGAACACACCUCGGAGAAUAUAGACUGUACAUGUCAAGGAUCUUGUAUACAUCAAAAUACUCAUCUAAAGCUCCAUCACAUUCCUUGGACACAUGCGCUAGUCUGAAGUCGCAGUGUUCAUUCACUCUCUGGUACAAUCCAUCUGAUAUCACUGCGUGAUCGUACGCGUAAUCUAUCAUCCCCUUUUGAUCUGUUUCGUCGUCCAACAAUGCAUUUCCUAUCUGCACAUAUAUAAAAGUCAAUGUUAUCAUGACCUUAGUCAAAUACUAAACUGUAGGUAGUGAUUAAUGAUUGGUUAAAGAAAAUAUCUGACCAUUAGACCCUUGAGGUUAAUGAAAUCUUUCUUGGGUGCAAUCUUGUUUUGAUUGUAGAUGAGCUCCGAAAGUUGAGGAACGUAAUGGCCUAAUUAAUUCCAUGCAAAUAUACGUUACAAACAAAAAAUUAUAUGAACUUAUUUUUAUUUGUUUUAAUCACUUUAAUUAAUAUUUACCGGCGUAGCUUUCUCCGGCGAUGUAAAAGUCGCGAGACUUGUACUGAGGGAAUCUCUUGAACCAAUUGACGAGGAAGUUGUACGAGUCGCUAGCUGGUUAAAUUAUACAUAAUUUUAAUUUACUUACAAUUUUUUUUUUACAAUUUUUCAUUAGUAGAGUCAUGUUAUAUAUAAUAGAACCUGUGACGGUGUCGCCGAGUUGACUUAUAUCACGGCUUGUGUUAGAGUAGGAGAAUCCAACUCCCACCGGCGAUUCCAAGAAUAAUAAAUUCGCCGCUACAUAUUAUAUUUCAAAAGUAUUUAUUUUAAUUGCAAUGAUGAAAUAUAGAGUUGAAUAUAUAUUGAAAAAGUUAUAGACAUCUAUACCUUUGUUCCAGCUAUAUGGGUUUAGCCUUUUUUUUUUUUUUUUUGUAACUCUGGUAUCUGGGCAGCCACAUUCCCAACUAUCCCCUCGUAAAAGGUCCAGCGCCCUAACGGAAGGGAUGUUAAAUCCGUUGUGGCCAAGGCUCGAACCCGGGUGGCGGGCAGUACAACUGUACCUCCUUAACUUAACUUAACUUAAGCUACCUUUGCUUACUCUUUAACUUUAUAUUACUUUAUGUUCACUAUUAUUGCGUCGGGUCCAUCUAGUUUAAGGGGUUUGUUUCUUGUAAUAAUAAACACACAAAUACAAAAAUAUUGAGGAACUUUUAGGGCGUGCAUACGUGCAUGGACCAUGUGUAAUGUUUCGAAUAAUAACGAAAUGAACAGUAUAAAUUUCAUGCAAUUGACUUUUUUUAUAGGUAGUAAGUAGUAAUCUUAUAGUAGAUGCAUACCUUUUGUGUCAAUAACUACUGUAUCUUAAUAUUAAAGUAAAGGGUGCAUGAGCCCACGGGAGCUUACAAAAGCCUAAAUAUAUGGAGGUGUAUGUAUAUAUGACGUCGACAUAAAUAUUAUAUCCAUCACAUGCAUAUGAAUCCAAUAUCUAUAUAUAAGAGUUCAAAGCCAAAACAAAAUCCUAAAAAGUCCAAAAGAUCAAUGCUAAUUAUCUAACGUUCUUUCACCAAAAUAUUUAUAAAACAUGUUAUGGUACACAAAAGACUUAUUUUAUAUUGCAUUAAACGCUUUCUUAUUCCAUCUAUAAAUUAAUAUCUAUAUUUUCAUCCAGUUUUUAAUUAAUAGUAAGAUAUAGCAAAUGAGACUAAAAGUGUAUAAAGAGAAUAUCAUAUUGGAUCGUGUAACAACUAACAAGCAUGUGGAAUCAUUGCAAGCUUCCAAAUUAAAGUUGAACCAACACACCAAUACUCAUCAUGAUCGUCAUGAUAAUAAUUAACCACAUAUGUUUCAUUGAUUUUGAUAUCGUGAAUAAUAUUACUGUUAAGAAGCUUCACCUAAUAUUCCCUCUCAGUUACCUUUUGUCUCCAUGCAUACAAAUUUAAAGGACCACAGUGACAGUACAUACAAAUCUUAUUUAUUUAUUUACCAUCAUGUUUUAGUCCACAUUCAGUUUACCUAAGCCAUAUUAUUCUACAUACAAAUAAUACAACACACAUGUAUAUGUGCUCCCUUCAAACAAAACAAUGUGAUCAAGCUAAUAUUCCAAUAUAUAGUUUCCUUUCAAUUUCAAAAUAUGAUGAUCACUGUCAUGCAUAGAUUAACUUUCAAUUAAUGAAAUCACAAUGUAGUGAUGUUUAGAUGCGCCAGCAUGUUUACUUUUGUGGGUGGGGUUUUUGUCUGGUCCAGGAAACUCAUUACCGUGAAAAAAGGUCUGAAAUUGGCUAAAUUCAAAAUCAUAAUUCAAUUCUAAAGGGUGCAAGUAGAUGAAAUGCACAAGAAGCAUGAUACACAUAGUGAAUUUUUUUUUACCUUUUUGGGGUUUUAAUAAUAAAACUAUCCUUUCAUCACAAGUUUUGUAUACCGACAAUUUAAUAAUAUAGCCGUGAGACCGAGACUCCUACAGAAAGAAUCCAAAAAACGAGUGGAUGUGAAUUAGUCUUACCUCCAUUGAGCCAAAGAAGAAGAGGUUUUUUGUUUGGAUUAUGAGUGGCUUCAAAGAACCAAUAGAAUAAUGCUCGUCCAUGUGUCUCAUUCACCGUUACAUAACCGGCAUAUUGCCGGAAUUUCACCGGAGGCUGUCCCGGAAGCUCCUUCACUAGAUCAGCUCGUUGCGCUGCCAAAACCCUAGACCGGAAACAACCAUUGUCGCCGUCCUUGUCAUCGUCGCUACAGAGCUUUGCUGCUAAUGAUGAGCCAAGAAGACAGGACACAAGAAAUAGGACAAGAACAGAAUGCACAACGUGAUGAGAAAUUCUCAUUUUUUACUUUAUUAAUGUUUGUGCUCAGAUCAUAUAAAGUCGAAUAUAGUGUUUGUUGUGAAUUGUGAAGUGACUGCGCAAGCUUAUAUAAUGUGGUGAGAGUGAGAGAGAACGAGAAUGAUUUCAAAGACAGAUAAGAACACUCUGUAGACUCACUGGAUGGUAACCAUUUCCAUAAGAUAAGACAUAAGAAAAGAAAAAUCAAAAUCCCAAAAAGUAAGGAAAAUGAAAUUUUAUCUUUCCAUUUUAUAAUAAUACUAUAAAUAAUAAUAAUAUUAGCAUUUUCUAUAUAUAAAUAGAAAGGUUUGUUACAUUUUUUUUUUUUUGAUAAUAGGUUUGUUACAAAUUAAGUUUCCUUUUUUUAUAGGCGUUUCUCUUUUUGUUUACACUAGCUAGAGGUAAAAUAUAUGCACAUGCAACUUGUGCCUUCUAUUUUAUAACCGUUUUCACUUGAAAUUUUAUAAUUAUUCAUGCGUAUUAACACCAUUAUUAUAAGAUAAAGACAUGUUACCAAACAAAAGAACCAAAUGGGCAAUAAGGAAGAUAUGACAGUACAAUUAUAUCGUAUAAAUAGAAGUUUGUUAUAAGUCGUUUUUCCCUUUAUGGGCAAUUAAUAUAUUUUUUGUUUAUACUAUACAUUUAGAUGCAACUUGUGCAAUAUGUCUGCAAUUUAUGUAAGGAAAUUUCGUUGUGAAAUAGUUCUUGGUUUUUGUGAAAGAAUCGAUUAAAAAUAAGAGUUCCUGCGGUUAUCGUAACAUAAAAAAGUAAAGCGAGAUAAGCCAUAUAUACAAGUCUAAUGGCAUGUGUAUUUGAUUAAAUCUGUUUAUUAAUUUUUGUAACAAUUAUAUAGAAUUGAUCAAUAAUCUGGAGUAGUAGAGAAAUAAUCAAAAGGGAAACGUAGGAAGUUUCUUGUUAGCAAGAAAAUGGUGAACAAGCUGAAGAGCCUCUCUAGGUUUGAAAGUCGGAACUUGGUGUCCCGCUCCUCUCACCGUCACAAACAUUAGCCCAUCGUACUCCACCGUCCACCCGCCUACCUGUUGUUUGUUGGUGUACCAAGGUGUCCAGUCUUGGACUGUCUUAAGACCAAGCUUCUUUAAUGAGUAUCUGGUUGCGGUCACUGGGAUUCUUCCAUCUGUAUCCCCA
rnacentral:lncRNA from 1 species